GGCAGUGUGGUGUAGUGGUUUGAAUGCCGGACUGGGACUCCAGGAGAUCAGCAUUCAAAUCCCUGUAACAGCCA